GGCACAGAUACUGCAUAUGCUUGAGCGGAGCCCCGAAUGGCGUAUCGUCGGGGGAGUCGGCAGUACCGUCGGCGUUAUCGCUUU
ncrna:Xanthomonas hortorum pv. carotae str. M081 rpfG RNA